UACGUAGGGUGCGAGCGUUGUCCGGAAUUAUUGGGCGUAAAGAGCUCGUAGGUGGCCUGUUGCGUCCGCUGUGAAAACUCAGGGCUUAACCCUGAGCCGGCAGUGGAUACGGGCAGGCUAGAGGCAGGCAGGGGAGAACGGAAUUCCCGGUGUAGCGGUGAAAUGCGCAGAUAUCGGGAGGAACACCGGUGGCGAAGGCGGUCUCUGGCCUGUACUGACGCUGAGGAGCGAAAGCGUGGGGAGCGAACAGGAUUGAG
rnacentral:rRNA from 1 species